GACGAACGCUGGCGGCGCGCUUAACACAUGCAAGUCGAGCGAGAACCAGGGCUUCGGCCCUGGGGACAGCGGCGAACGGGUGAGUAACACGUGGGUAAUCUGCCCUCGGCACCGGAAUAGCCCGGGGAAACCCGGAUUAGUGCCGGAUGGCCCCUUCACCUCGCGAGGUGUCGGGAAAAGGUAGCCUCGGCCUCUGGCCGAGGAUGAGCCCGCGGCGGAUUAGCUUGUUGGCGGGGUAACGGCCCACCAAGGCGACGAUCCGUAGCUGGUCUGGGAGGACGAUCAGCCACACUGGGACUGAGACACGGCCCAGACUCCUACGGGAGGCAGCAGUGGGGGAUCUUGCGCAAUGGGCGAAAGCCUGACGCAGCGACGCCGCGUGAGGGAAGAAGGCCUUCGGGUUGUAAACCUCUUUCAGGAGGGACGAAGCUACUCGGGUGAAUAGCCCAGAGGGUGACGGUACCUCCAGAAGAAGCCCCGGCUAACUACGUGCCAGCCGCCGCAGUAA
rnacentral:rRNA from 1 species